GGAAUAUAACACCUUAAUGAGGCCUACUAGGUAGUGGUAUAUCAAAAUAUUGCUCUCCCUUCUUAUGCUUCUACUUAACUUUCUACACAUUUUGGCAAUGGUAGCUCAUGAAAGAAAACUGAGAGAUGGUUCAAGAGUUUCUUUAUGAGGCUGAGGUCCCUGGGCCCUGCAGAAGGACAGAUGUAAGAAAACUUGGCAAAGUUCACAGCUGCUCCAUGGCCACACAUUGAUGAAUGUAUCCCAUGUCCUUGGCUUCCUUACAUAAUGCAAACACAGCUGAAUUGAUCCACUUCAAAUCUUCAUAAACAAUUCAACUGAGGAUGAAAGCAGGAAUCCAGCAGCACAUCAAAAAGCUAAUCCACCACGAACAACAGACUUCAUCCCUAGGAUGCAAGUUCUCAGGAUUCAAGAUGAAGAAGAUAAAGUUCCUGCCCCAAGAAGCUCUGUAUAAAGUCUAAAGGGCCUGGGAUUAAUUCUGUGUUGUUUAAUGAUGUAUUUCAAGUGCCUGAAGACAAAGAAAGGUGACAGAAUAGCUGUUAGAAUAGUGACUGUUGGUUUUAUUUAAACCUAGGAAGGAUUAGUUGGGAAUUUGUAGAAAAAAGGUAGGAUUUUCUAUUAACCCACAAACUUACAUUCAGCAUUCUGCCUUGAGUACUUUCUUUUGAUUUUCUACAUGCCAGGUUUUCCCAUAAACCAUAAUGUUUCAAAAUACAGCUCCUACUCAAAGCUAUGUGUCUCUAGAUCUGUAAUAAAUAUAAAUAUUAAGACUUUUGAAAUAAACUAAACCUUGAAAUGAA
rnacentral:lncRNA from 1 species